rnacentral:rRNA from 1 species
CCUACGGGUGGCUGCAGUGGGGAAUAUUGGACAAUGGGGGCAACCCUGAUCCAGCCAUGCCGCGUGUGUGAAGAAGGCCCUCGGGUUGUAAAGCACUUUCAGUGAGGAAGAAUGCCUGGUGGUUAAUACCCAUCAGGAAAGACAUCACUCACAGAAGAAGCACCGGCUAACUCCGUGCCAGCAGCCGCGGUAAUACGGAGGGUGCGAGCGUUAAUCGGAAUUACUGGGCGUAAAGCGCGCGUAGGUGGCUUGAUAAGCCGGUUGUGAAAGCCCCGGGCUCAACCUGGGAACGGCAUCCGGAACUGUCAAGCUAGAGUGCAGGAGAGGAAGGUAGAAUUCCCGGUGUAGCGGUGAAAUGCGUAGAGAUCGGGAGGAAUACCAGUGGCGAAGGCGGCCUUCUGGACUGACACUGACACUGAGGUGCGAAAGCGUGGGUAGCAAACAGGAUUAGAUACCCCGGUAGUC